rnacentral:lncRNA from 1 species
AUAGCAGUGCCAGAUGUCAAGUCUCUACUGGAGGUUGAAAGGGGUCUUGGGAAAUGUUGAAUACUGGCAGAAUGCAGGAACAAGCCGCGUGGAAUGUUAAGACAUCGCGUGCAACGCGUCUGACUGCAUAUAUGGAAUAGUCUCCAUACACUGGAACUGCUGUUUUGGAAAAGAAACAGUCAAGAGCUAUAAAAGGUAUUCAAAGAUAGUCUGAG